UACACACCGCCCGUCACACCAUGGGAGUUGGCUUUACCUGAAGGCGGUGCGCCAACCGCAAGGAGGCAGCCGACCACGGUAGGGUCAGCGACUGGGGUG
rnacentral:rRNA from 1 species